rnacentral:rRNA from 1 species
UAAGCCACCGAAAGGUGGUCUAAUACUUCAUAAUAUCCAUCUCGUAUGGAUUAAAGCUUUAUGCGCUUUGGGAGGGGCCUGCGUAACAUUAGCUUGUUGGUGAGGUAAAAGCUCACCCAAGGCUUCGAUGUUUAACUGGUUUGAGAGGAUGACCAGUCACACUGGGACUGAGAUACGGCCCAGACUCCUACGGGAGGCAGCAGUAAGGAAUCUUCCACAAUGGGACAACCCUGAUGGAGCAAUACCGCGUGCAGGAUGAAGCGUUUCGGCGUGUAAACUGCUUUUAUCACCGAAGAUUAUGACUGUAGGUGAAGAAUAAGGACCGGCUAACUACGUG